rnacentral:snRNA from 1 species
GUGAGUCUGCUUGAGCGUU